CCGACAUCAGGAUUACCCAUCAACAUCAGCACUGAUCAAAACUUGAGCAUUACAUGUUCAUGGUCUUGGCUGGGUGGAUCUAUAAUUAUACGUCAUCAAAGAAGAGAAAGUGACCCCUUGAUAUAUGCUGGUCCAAUUUAAAGUUACGAGGUUGUCUUUUUGAAGCGGUUUUCUUCUGCCAUACCUUUGAUCACUGGUUAUUUUUGUUUAUGAGAGGAUAAGUGCUUAUCAUUCACCAAUUGCAAGAGUGGGUUUUUAUUUGCAUUUGAGGAUUUUCGGCAACAUUACUUGCAACCGAUUUGCGG